rnacentral:lncRNA from 12 species
GAUCUGGUGCAGGAGAAUCGGCAAGGGUUAGGAAGCCAGGAAGCAGCCUUAAUCCUGUCGGUCUCCCUCUGCGCCGCCCCCGCCCCGCCCCACCCCCUGCUGACUCCGGGUGGGUCCGUUGGGGGAAGGGGAUCUCCCCAGCUGGACGGGAUCCUUCCUCCUCUUCCCACUGCCCCCCCUGGCCUUGAGCCCGAACAACCAGGGCUGCAUGCUAAGUGGCCGGAGGCAGCAGUACGACUCAGGACAGACCCGGGAGAGGGGACUGGACCCGUGCGCAGCCGGGAGAACCCAGAGGCCAGCCCUGACUGGGGGGUAAGGUUUGUGGAGACCUGGGAGUGCCACCGGGCACGGGACCCCUGGAGCUCGGCUGGUCCUGUGACUGCACGGAGGGCACCUGCUCGGGGAGAGGAGCUGAUGUGGGAGGCCCCGGAAGUGCUGGAGAAGAGGAGGAGAAGGCUGCUGGGGAGGCCGGAACUCUGUGGGCCCUGCUCAGUCACCCGCUCCUCCCAGCCUCCAGGAGCUUGUCUGGAGGGAGGCCCAGAAGGGCCCCAGCCGCUACAGGAUGACCAAGGCUAGGACUCUUGUGAAAUGGUCCGAAACCUC